CCUACGGGGGGCAGCAGUGGGGGAUAUUGCACAAUGGGGGAAACCCUGAUGCAGCGACGCCGCGUGUGGGAAGACGGUCCUCUGGAUUGUAAACCACUGUCACCAGGGACGAAGAUGACGGUACCUGGGGAGGAAGCUCCGGCUAACUACGUGCCAGCAGCCGCGGUAAUACGUAGGGAGCGAGCGUUGUCCGGAAUUACUGGGUGUAAAGGGAGCGGAGGCGGGGAUGCAAGUUGGGUGUCAAAACUACCGGCUAAACUGGGAGUCGCACUCAAAACUGCAGCUCUUGAGAGAAGUAGAGGCAGGCGGAAUUCCGAGUGUAGAGGUGAAAUGCGUAGAUAUUAGGAGGAACACCAGUGGCGAAGGCGGCCUGCUGGGCUUUUACUGACGCUGAGGCUCGAAAGUGUGGGGAGCAAACAGGAUUAGAUACCCCAGUAGUC
rnacentral:rRNA from 1 species